rnacentral:rRNA from 1 species
GACAGAGGGUGCAAACGUUGUUCGGAAUUACUGGGCGUAAAGCGCACGUAGGCGGAUCGAUCAGUCAGGGGUGAAAUCCCAGAGCUCAACUCCAGAACUGCCUUUGAUACUGAAGAUCUUGAGUUCGGGAGAGGUGAGUGGAACUGCGAGUGUAGAGGUGAAAUUCGUAGAUAUUCGCAAGAACACCAGUGGCGAAGGCGGCUCACUGGCCCGGAAUACUGACGCUGAGGCACGAAAGCGUGGGGAGCAAACAGG